rnacentral:rRNA from 1 species
UGAGUAACACGUGGGCAAUCUGCCCUGCACUUCGGGAUAAGCCUGGGAAACUGGGUCUAAUACCGGAUAGGACCUUUAGACGCAUGUCUUUUGGUGGAAAGCUUUUGCGGUGUGGGAUGGGCCCGCGGCCUAUCAGCUUGUUGGUGGGGUGAUGGCCUACCAAGGCGACGACGGGUAGCCGGCCUGAGAGGGUGUCCGGCCACACUGGGACUGAGAUACGGCCCAGACUCCUACGGGAGGCAGCAGUGGGGAAUAUUGCACAAUGGGCGCAAGCCUGAUGCAGCGACGCCGCGUGGGGGAUGACGGCCUUCGGGUUGUAAACCUCUUUCACCAUCGACGAAGGUCCGGGUUUUCUCGGAUUGACGGUAGGUGGAGAAGAAGCACCGGCCAACUACGUGCCAGCAGCCGCGGUAAUACGUAGGGUGCGAGCGUUGUCCGGAAUUACUGGGCGUAAAGAGCUCGUAGGUGGUUUGUCGCGUUGUUCGUGAAAUCUCACGGCUUAACUGUGAGCGUGCGGGCGAUACGGGCAGACUAGAGUACUGCAGGGGAGACUGGAAUUCCUGGUGUAGCGGUGGAAUGCGCAGAUAUCAGGAGGAACACCGGUGGCGAAGGCGGGUCUCUGGGCAGUAACUGACGCUGAGGAGCGAAAGCGUGGGGAGCGAACAGGAUUAGAUACCCUGGUAGUCCACGCCGUAAACGGUGGGUACUAGGUGUGGGGUUUCCUUCCUUGGGAUCCGUGCCGUAGCUAACGCAUUAAGUACCCCGCCUGGGGGAGUACGGGCCGCAAGGCUAAAACUCAAAGGAAUUGACGGGGGGCCCGCACAA